CAAUUUUUGCAGUUUUAUCAUAAAAACAGAGUGUUUUCAGAGGAUAGAUGUUUGUUCACAGUGCAGGAGGUUUUUGUACGGCCGCUUAAUGAGUUUGUAUCACUGUGGUACACUUUUGGUGGAGGAACCAAACUCAUCGUUGACUUGGGUGUGGUGCGGCCCACCCUGAGCGUCCUCCCCCCCUCCAGAGAGCAGCUGCAGCAGGGCAGUGCCACACUGGUGUGUCUGGCCAGCGGGGGCUUCCCCUCAGCCUGGAGGCUGGGCUGGAAGGUGGGGGGCAGCAGCCUCUCCUCAGGGGAGUCACACAGCCUGGAGGCCCUGGGGAGGGACGGCCACUACAGCUGGAGCAGCACCCUGAUCCUCCCUGCAGACCAGUGGAGGAAGGCGGGCUCAGUGAGCUGUGAGGCCAGUCUGAAUGGACAGAGCCCUGUCACUCAAAGCCUGGACCCUGAGCGCUGCUCAGAGUAGAGCUUCAGCAACACUUCCUGUCUGGAAAUGAUGCUGCUUCUUUCAUAGAGAUCUUCAUCAAGCUACAGAUCUCCUCUCUUCACAUAUUUCUGCACGUUUCACAGCUCUCUGCUCAGUGUUUUAGUGUGCAUGUUGCUUUCUCAUACUGAUCUUCUGCAUGUUCUUCUUUAUCAUCAUUAAAAUCAACUUUAUUAGUUUUAGUCCAAGAGAAACGAUUCAUUCAUCAGAAAUGUGGCAUGAACAUUAAACUCUCACUGAAUAAAACUGUGGAUUAUAAUGAGUCAGUGUCUUUGUGUUUUGUAAAAGGUGUAAGGUUCACCCUGCUGGCAAAUGGAUCAACACUGAACACAAUAUUUUGUAUCCUGAUGAUCUGGAUCCAGGCGUUACAUUUAUUAAGAUGACAGAACAACAGACAUAAGGGAGCAGCAGACAUGAAGCCAUCUAACCUCAGUGUGUUAUCUUAAUGCUCUGGUCUUCUAUGUUCCUAAUAACAUAAAUAUAUAUCAGGAUAUACUAUAGAUUUUGCCUACAUGUUGGAGUU